CAUUAAAGAGUUCUAUAACUCCCAAACCCAUGUGAACAUACCUAACGUUGCCUCGGCAGGUCGCACCUACCUUGUAGCACCCUACCCUGUAGGGCCUACCCGGGAGGUGCGGGUAAGCCUGCCGGCGGCCCACCAAACUCUGUUUGAUAUUGAAUUCUGAACCUAUAACUAAAUAAGUUAAAACUUUCAACAACGGAUCUCUUGGUUCUGGCAUCGAUGAAGAACGCAGCGAAAUGCGAUAAGUAAUGUGAAUUGCAGAAUUCAGUGAAUCAUCGAAUCUUUGAACGCAUAUUGCGCCCAUUAGUAUUCUAGUGGGCAGGACCGUUCGAGCGUCAUUUCAACCCUUAAGCCUUCGUUGCUUAGUGUUGGGAGCCUACGGCAACGUAGCUCCUCAAAGUUAGUGGCGGAGUUGGUUCACACUCUAGACGUAGUAAUUUUUUAUCUCGCCUAUUAGUUGGACUAAUCCCCUGCCGUAAAACCCCCAAUUUAUCAAGGUUGACCUCGAAUCGGUUCAGACAAACUCGCUAAAUUGAAGCAUCUUAGUCAGCGAAGGAAAAGAAACCAACAGGGAUUGCCCUAGUAACGGCGAGUGAAGCGGCAACAGCUC
rnacentral:rRNA from 1 species